UUGAGCUUGAUCCCUGGCUCAGGACGAACGCUGGCGGCGUGCCUAAUACAUGCAAGUCGAGCGGAUUUAUCCUUCGGGAUAAGUUAGCGGCGGACGGGUGAGUAACACGUAGGUAACCUGCCUAUAAGAUCGGGAUAACUAUCGGAAACGAUAGCUAAGACCGGAUAAYUGGUUUUCUCGCAUGAGAGAAUUAUGAAACACGGAGCAAUCUGUGGCUUAUAGAUGGGCCUGCGGCGCAUUAGCUAGUUGGUAGGGUAACGGCYCACCAAGGCGACGAUGCGUAGCCGACCUGAGAGGGUGAACGGCCACACUGGGACUGAGACACGGCCCAGACUCCUACGGGAGGCAGCAGUAGGGAAUCUUCCGCAAUGGACGCAAGUCUGACGGAGCAACGCCGCGUGAGUGAUGAAGGUUUUCGGAUCGUAAAGCUCUGUUGCCCUAGACGAACAGCAAGAGGAGUAACUGCCUUUUGUGUGACGGUAUAGGAGAAGAAAGCCCCGGCUAACUA
rnacentral:rRNA from 1 species